AACGAACGCUGGCGGCAUGCCUAACACAUGCAAGUCGAACGAAGGCUUCGGCCUUAGUGGCGCACGGGUGCGUAACGCGUGGGAAUCUGCCCCUCGGUUCGGAAUAACAGUUAGAAAUGACUGCUAAUACCGGAUGAUGACUUCGGUCCAAAGAUUUAUCGCCGAGGGAUGAGCCCGCGUAAGAUUAGGUAGUUGGUGGGGUAAAGGCCUACCAAGCCGACGAUCUUUAGCUGGUCUGAGAGGAUGAUCAGCCACACUGGGACUGAGACACGGCCCAGACUCCUACGGGAGGCAGCAGUGGGGAAUAUUGGACAAUGGGGGGAACCCUGAUCCAGCCAUGCCGCGUGAGCGAUGAAGGCCUUAGGGUUGUAAAGCUCUUUCGCCAGGGAAGAUAAUGACGGUACCUGGAAAAGAAGCCUCGGCUAACUCCGUGCCAGCAGCCGCCGUAA
rnacentral:rRNA from 1 species